GACGAACGCUGGCGGCGUGCUUAACACAUGCAAGUCGAACGGAAAGGCCCUGCUUUUGUGGGGUGCUCGAGUGGCGAACGGGUGAGUAACACGUGAGUAACCUGCCCUUGACUUUGGGAUAACUUCAGGAAACUGGGGCUAAUACCGGAUAGGAGCUCCUGCUGCAUGGUGGGGGUUGGAAAGUUUCGGCGGUUGGGGAUGGACUCGCGGCUUAUCAGCUUGUUGGUGGGGUAGUGGCUUACCAAGGCUUUGACGGGUAGCCGGCCUGAGAGGGGGAACGGCGCCAUGGGGACUGAGAUACGGCGCAGCAGGCUACGGGCGGCAGCAGUGGGGAAUAUGGCGCAGUGGGCGGAAGCCUGAGGCGGCAACGCCGCGUGCGGGAUGACGGCCUUCGGGUUGUAAACCGCUGUCGCAUGUGACGAAGCGUGAGUGACGGUAAUGGGUAAAGAAGCACCGGCUAACUACGUG
rnacentral:rRNA from 1 species